AUUGAACGCUGGCGGCAGGCCUAACACAUGCAAGUCGAGCGGAUGAAGGGAGCUUGCUCCUGGAUUCAGCGGCGGACGGGUGAGUAAUGCCUAGGAAUCUGCCUGGUAGUGGGGGCUAACGUCCGGAAACGGGCGCUAAUACCGCAUACGUCCUGAGGGAGAAAGUGGGGGAUCUUCGGACAUCACGCUAUCAGAUGAGCCUAGGUCGGAUUAGCUAGUUGGUGGGGUAAAGGCCUACCAAGGCGACGAUCCGUAACUGGUCUGAGAGGAUGAUCAGUCACACUGGAACUGAGACACGGUCCAGACUCCUACGGGAGGCAGCAGUGGGGAAUAUUGGACAAAGGGCGAAAGCCUGAUCCAGCCAUGCCGCGUGUGUGAAGAAGGUCUUCGGAUUGUAAAGCACUUUAAGUUGGGAGGAAGGGCAGUAAGUUAAUACCUUGCUGUUUUGACGUUACCAACAGAAUAAGCACCGGCUAACUUCGUG
rnacentral:rRNA from 1 species